CAAAAGAAACAAGGCAGCGCAGGAUGAAGGGACAAUUAUUAGCAUCAGUCCACAUUGCAUGUCGCAGUGAUUAUCUAUUUGCAUCAAUAAAAAUGUCGGAGCUUAUCGCUUAAUUUAUAGCUCCCCUGCGAAGCGCCGCAUUAGGCAGCGACCAAGAGCGGAAGCCAUUUCCGACCUGUGCACUGUGCACCUAACCAGCUGGGCAACGACCUGUCAUUUCAGGGAGCCCCACACCUGACCCCAGCUGCUAUGACAAUCAUGUUGUGAGUUUCUCAAUCCUAUACUGUCAUGUUCUUUCAACAACCCUCUAUCCACUAUACCUGUUAUACUGUUGUUUUCAAAUAAACCAAUUUAGUUGUUUUCAGCAUUGUAAUACCCAAUGCAUUGCAGAAGCUACUCAAACUGCCAGUUAAAAUACAAAAUAAAUUUUAUUGUGAAGCGUUUCAUGUUGGUCAUUGUCCCAUCAAGUUGCUACCAUUCUGUAUGAUGUACAGAAGAGACCUGAGAGUGAUGCCGAUUGUAACCUCUACUUUCCGUACAUUUUCAGGUCUCCGAAUACCCUUCUCUGUUAAUGUGUUUUCUUCCCACCACCCAGUUAAUCACUCCUUCCCCUCGGAAGUAUCAGCAGGACAGAACCUGGUGUAAAGUACCCACUUGGAAGAAUCCCCUUCAACUACACCACAAAUAGGUUCAGGACCAAGCCUGUUACAGCUGACUCCAACCCAGGCUGACCCCGGGGCAUAUGCUCAUGAUACUACUCAGAGCCGGAAGGUGUUUUGGCCUAUGAACUUUGGCUCCUCAGACGGGGGUAGACUGCCCCCGACUCAAGAGGAAAGCCUUGAGGACAGAGCUGCUUUGUGACAAGGAGUUUGACAAGCAAAGGACAUAUCUACUGUUGUUGUACUCCUGACUCUGCAGGGGGUCAACCUGAUACAAGCAUAAAUAAAGUGUUUUUAUAUAUCCGCUUUAAUAUAGAUAUUCACCAUUCUC